UGGCUGAUGAUGAAUGAUCUCCAAGAUCUUAGCGUAUUUCAGCGAGGCCUUUUGGUCUAUGAUCUUACAAAUGUUGUUACACACACUGAAGCCU